GAACUAAAUGAGGGAAAGUUGGAC
rnacentral:piRNA from 1 species